UACGAAGGGGGCUAGCGUUGCUCGGAAUCACUGGGCGUAAAGCGCACGUAGGCGGACUCUUAAGUCAGGGGUGAAAUCCUGGAGCUCAACUCCAGAACUGCCUUUGAUACUGAAGAUCUUGAGUUCGGGAGAGGUGAGUGGAACUGCGAGUGUAGAGGUGAAAUUCGUAGAUAUCUGGAGGAACACCGGUGGCGAAGGCGGCAUUCUGGACCGAUAUUGACGCUGAGGAGCGAAAGCCAGGGGAGCAAACGGG
rnacentral:rRNA from 1 species